ACCACCACCACACACCACCACCACCACCACACACACCACCACACACACACACCACCACCACCACCACACACACCACCACCACCACACACACACCACCACCACCACACACACGCACACUAAAAGCAGAGUGGUAAACAGAUGCCAAAAAAAAUUAGAGGGGGUUGAAAUAACAAAAUGAUCAGAAGUUUCAAAGCAUCAUAUGAAAUUAUAGGGGAGAUGGUACACAAUGAGUAUAGCUCUCAUUCUGUUGCUACUGGCACACUUGAAUAAUUACAUAACCAUCCUUACUUACUAACCAUCACUUGUGCACUGUUCAUUCGCUCUCUCUUGCCUGCCCCCUUCCACCAUCAAUUUUGAUAAUUCUACAAAUCACCCUUAUACCAGUCUAUACUCGUUGCACCUGCUAUACACUCUCAUUACACUCCAUAUUCUUGAUAAUCUGCCCUAUUUAAGCUGGCCUUAAUGUUUGAAUGCUAUCUAGUUGUUUUAUUCCUCUAAUCAGUAGUACAUUAGAAGCUACUAAUUGAUGUCACUUCGGUACUGGUAUUCGAUUCUCCUUGCUUAAUUAAGUGUAUUUAAGGUUGGUCUCUUAAGUCCUCGCAUACAUUCUACCUUUGUCAAUCUGAACACAGGUUUUAGCGAGUAUUUUAGUAUUGGUAGCAGCAAACAAUAGUUAAAUUUAUUGCUCAAAUUGUUUCAUUCUGAAUACAUUGAACAGAUUGCUUAGAUUGAUAAAGGUUGAUCCAAUCUUUUUUCCUUUUUGAUCCCAAAGAUAACACAAGGAGAAUUAUUUUCAUAUUCAGACACAUUUAGUAGCAUCUAGAUGAUAAUGUCUUAAGUUUUUACACUUGUCUAUCCAAUGAUUGUUAAGAUGUCAGCAUGAGAACUCAAAAUACACUCUUGUACUGAGGUGGGUCAAGGAUGAUUUUACACACUAAACAUAUUUUAGUACAAGGAAUGAUUUUAAAAUACAAUGUGGAUAUUAUUUGAUCUUCAAUAGAGUGGUAACCUUCACUGUCGUCACUUUACAGCCUAAUAAGAAUAGGUUUUAAUAGUUUUGCUUGGGUAAUUUUAAUGAAGGUAGCUGUUGUAGAACUGUUUUUUUAAGUUCCAAAUCUAGGACUUCUAGAAAUUGUGGAUGUCUUCUAGUAAACUUGAUUAUCCUUUGAUGACAACACCUUUCUGAUAGUUUUGAGGGAUGAAUUGACAUUUUUAUUAAUGUUAGUUUUCAUUAUGAAUCUGAAAGUACCCAGUUGUACACAUUUACCCAGUUAGAAACUCAAUCGUGCAGGCACAAAUGGGUGAAUACAAGUAGCUGAUUACACACAUCUUUGCAAAUGGCCAUUCUAAAAUUGUUGCUAUUGGAGGAAAAUACUUAAUUGUUAGUAUUCACUUCAAAAAUAAUGUCCAGUUCUUGUCUUCUGUCAGUUGAAGACUUUUUAGAAUUACUUUAUAGCACAUAUAUUGAAAUGUCAAAUAAUUACAUUAAGAUUUUUUUUGUUUUUGUGUCAAAGAUGAAAGCAGGUUAAGCUGUCAUUAUUUUCUAGGUAAUAAGCUGACAUUGUUUUUUCUUUACUUACUAUUUGUCAAUUAUAAUGGUAUACAGUCUUCCCCGCACGGUGAACCUUUUUGUGCAUCUUUAUAAGGUAUUCCGUGAAAAAGUACCUUCGUUUUUACUUAAUUUCCAUUGAUUACUUCUAUGUUUGUAUUAACAACAUAAUGUUUGUGUUUUUGUUGACCUGCAUGGAGUCAAAUGCUAUUUUACUUGUACAUAGACCUGUUAAGUCCUGACAGCUCUUGGCUCAUACUGAAUAAGAUUUUUUGACAUGAAUGUCAUUCAAGUUUCCCUACCAUUAGCAUCUUGGACAAUAUUCAUUCAUAAAGGUGUUGGUUAACUCCUAAUCCUGGUCCAGGGUAAAGUAGUUGUUAGUGGUACCAUUGGCAUGCAGUUUUUGGUUAUAAACAUCCUCUUAUUUUAUUAUUUGUGGAGGGGGGAGGAGCCGUAAAUUUAAUGUCUUAUUUCAAAAUAAGUAACCAGCGCCAAGUUUAAAAUAGCAGAGAAAUUUGACAUUUUCUUACACUGCUUGUACAGCUAGAUUUGUUUCCAUGCUAAUCUCUCUCUCUCUCUCUCCUCUCUCUCUCUUGUCAUACAUACGUUUUCCAGAUUCAUUGCAAUGACAUGUGGGAAAUCUUUAAAGAUUUAAUGUGCUGGUUAUUACCAAACAAAUAAUUUAAAAAGCAGAAGCACUACUAUAAUUACAGUAUGUAGAACAGCCCUCACCAUGUAUAGAUACAAGGGAAGAGAAAAAGGCUGAUUAUCAAGCUUUAUUUCUUCAGCACCACUUUUGUGCUACUCAGGUAUAUAAAAUUAUAAAGCUCCAUUUUCUGUCAGUUAACCAGAUUCCAUACACAUUACUUGUUCUCUAAGAGAAACACAGCACUGUAUUUUAGUUGCAUUAACUAUAUUUUCCACCAAAUCAUGUCAUUUUAAACAAUAAGCGUUAUUUAUUCAUAUCCAUGUAAACAGACUCCUUUGCUUAAUCAUACCAUUUGCGUUUGUAGUUUGCCGAAGCUACACACACCAUGCAAUUUCACUCGUUUAAUCACGUUCAUCAUUUUUUUUGGUCUUGACAGCUUUUUUUUAAAGAUCUCAAGUGCUUCAUAUAAUAAAUGUACUGUAUUCUCAUUUCUAUUUCCAAUGAUUGAACCUUUAACAUGGUAAUACUAUAUAAAUCCAUUGCUACUUCAUGUAGCCUACUAGUCAUCAUCCCGUUCCAUGUUAGUUUCUUCAAUAAGUUCACGAUGGUACCCUGAACUAUAUUCUUAUAAACUCUUAUGGAAACAGAAGGAACAAUCUAUUAUAUUUCUUAAUUUAUUUAAAGAUAUCUUUGGAAAUCUUUAUUUAAAGACGAAAGUUUCGAAAAGGUCAUCUGUUUUCUUGAGUCUUAAGGACAAACAUUUGUUUGCUAUAAUUUGUUUGUCUAAAUUGUGGUUGGAUUGUGAUUAUUUACGUUUGCUAAUUUCAGGCACUGAUAAUGUUUGAUCCCAUCAACAAAAAUUACUUUUGGUAAAGUUUGUUAGUUGAAAUGCUAAUGUUACAUGAAAAUUUAUUUAUUAAGAAUAUGAUGGUACUGUAUUAACCAUUGAUGUUUGUUAUGGGUGGAGACUUGAGUCGUGUUCUAGCAAUCAUUAUAUGAAAGCGUAAUUGAUUACCCCAAGUUCACACACAAAAAGAUAUUAAAUACAGUAAUUAAAAUUUUCUUCAAAAGUUUUUGAAAUAGCCAUUAAAUUGUGUUGAUUUUUACACUGCUAUGAAAGAUACAUUUGGCCUAAAAGAAUUAUCAGACUGACAAGACAAAAGGAAUUAAGAUUUGUAUAGGGCUAAUUUUAUUUGGAAUAAUUUCAUGCCAAAGUAGUCAUGAUACAUCUGGGUAGAAUGUGCUGGUAGCCUGUUGUCUACAGGGAAAAAUAAAGUCCUGUAAAAGUGAUUUUGAUACUGUCUACAUCUGAUGUGUGUGCAAAUAUUAACCAGCAAAAGUAUCUACAUUUUAAUGAAAUUACAUACUAUAUUGUGCUGUACAUUAUGCUUUUGCUUUAUAAUUUAUUUUUGUAUUCAUACUUUUAUGCUCUUUGAUUCCAUAAGAUAUUUUUGUAAAUACAGUAAUUUUGGAGAAAAAUAAAUGGUAGUGUUGGAAUGCCUAGGACGGCUGUAACUUGGUAGUGCGCGAGUUGAUCACCCUGGACUGUUAUGUCAUAGUCGAGCACUUCUUGGUGUGGACACGAGCUUCUAAACCUAUACUGGUGACCCAGGAGAUUUGUGUACUGUAUUUUAUUGUGGUAAUCUAAUACUUGCCAUUAGAAUGUACAUUAUUUCCAGUGGUUAAAUAUUCUCGUACUGUCUGAAGUUUUUAUCCAGAUAUAUUAAUGAAUCUGAUAUAAUGCAUGUUACGCAUUCUGAAUGUUAUCCACAUGUUGUUUAGAAUGGGGUUCCAGAAUGAUUACUUGCAUAUAUAAAAGAAGCAAGGAUGCAACACACUGAAUGGAGGUUUCUAGUUUUCAUUAAAAGGCAGAUGUUAUAUUGCUCUUAACUAUUAAAUAGAAAGCGUCAGCACCAUGAAAGUGCUAGAAUGGAUCUUCCUGACUAGGCGUGUUAAUUGUUGGCUAGGCUUCUGGUCUUCCAGAAUUGAAUGAGGUAAGUAUACAAAUAUUUAUAGCGAGCCAUAUUUACUUUCACUUUUUGAUUAUUUAUCGUGUAGUACCCGUCUCUCGUGUGUGUGUGUAUCUGUAACAUUCUCGGAUUCAAUGAGUACUCCAGCUUCACAAAGUUUACAGUGAUAGUGACAAUUACGUACCAUCAGUGUAAAUACUGUGAUGGCAUGUGCUCGUGUGCUUCAUUCAGUUUUGCUUUUCCUUGUUUAAUAUACCUUUACUAUGAAUUUUGAGUACAAAUUGCAUCUGGUUCUUUAUUCACAAGGGAUCAGAAGUCAUACCCUAACUUCAUCAUUGUUGAUGCUUUUAUUUUGUUGUUGUUCUGUGUAGGAUAGUUCCCACCAACAUGCCCCAAGGAAUUGGUUUAAACAUAACAAUAUACUCGUUAAUUUUAUGUGGAUUGUUUUUGGGCACUUAUUGUUUUCUGUAUUAACAAAUAUUUCAUAUUAAAUUCGGUGAACUUUGUUGUCCAGUCUUAAUUCUUUAUAUAAAAAUAGUCUGAAUUAAUCACAUUAUUGCCUUAAAUUGUAAAUUGUAUUUUACUUUCAAAUAUAAUUUAAAGUACUGUAAUUUCAAAGUUUCCUUUAUUAAUUCAAAUAGUUUUACAUUUUUACAACUGUACUGUGAUAAGAGCAUGAUAUUCUUUCAAUUGUAAUUAGUUUGUAAAAGUAUAGAGUUUGUAGUGGAGCUAAAUUCAGAUUUUUCAAUACUCUUUCCUGUAUAAUUAUUGUUAUGGGAAGGAUAAGGUAAAUUUGUCCUGUAUAAUUAUUGUUAUGGGAAGGAUAAGGUAAAUUUGUCCUGUAUAAUUAUUGUUAUGGGAAGGAUAAGGUAAAUUUGUCCUGUAUAAUUAUUGUUAUGGGAAGGAUAAGGUAAAUUUGUCCUGUAUAAUUAUUGUUAUGGGAAGGAUAAGGUAAAUUUGGAAGAAUGAACAGACUAGAGAAUAACUUUUUUUUUUCCCAUAGCUCACUUGUCAGUCACAUUAUAAAGUUGUAUAUCACACACACAGCAAAGUUGUGUGUGGGAUACACCUUGACUAUUGGUGUUAACAGUGAACUGCUACAAUGUGAUGGGUGAUUACAAUGUCCGCUUUCUAGUAAUGUUAUCAACAUUUAUUUAACGUGAAAAUACAGACCUAUAUAAUAAUAUCCAUGGCGUCCAUGUGUCGGCAUCACUUGACCUUUGCUAAUGAUGUUCUUUAUUAAGAUGUGCUCAAUAUGCUGGUCUGGGCUAAGUUAGCUGGUUAUACAGUACCUUGUACUUCAUUUUAGUGCAUCUAUAAUGCUAGUGAACAUUUUUGGAUUUGUUAAUGUUUAAAUUAUUAGGCAACAAAAUAUUGGCCAUAUUCAAGCUAAUGUUUUAGAGAUCAUUAGUGUUAGGAAUUGUAAUUUUUGAAAAUUAUUUGUGUACUGUAUAUAGAGCCAAUCUUACGAAAUUGUAAGCUCUUGCUUCAAGUAGGGAACUGAAGAAAAUAGAAUUUGCAGUGAUUACUACUUGUAAAAUAAAUGUGAAAAUCAUAAAGCUUCUUAUAAUAAAAGAAUUUUAGGUCCAUAUUGACCUACCAUAAUGCACUGUUAUACUGGAAUGCAUUUGGAGCUGUCAUUGGUUUGUGCCAAGAGUAGCAGCUUAAACAUUUUAAUAGGCAAUUAAAGGUAUUGACUAGUUUACUCGAGAUUAAUGUAGUGAAUGCUUAUGUGUAAACAUUAGUUAGGUAAGGCUACUGAAUUGCUAUUUGUGACACUAAAUACAACUAUAAACAUUACUUCUCUUGUGUAUAAUGAGUCUUGCCCAGCAUUUAAGGGAUUUCUUGAAGAAAUUUAAAGAUCUUUGACUCCUUCAAGUGGGAUGCAAUGUCCACAUUAUAGCAGCUUGUAUUUAUAUUUACCAGAAAUCCAGUUGCCCAGGAAUUACUUGUAGUCACAUUGCACUCACUCGAACUCAUUGAAGUUUUAUACAAGAUAUGUUUUUACUUCAGAAGGAGAUGCUCAAAGUUUCAAUAAUUUUCAUCCUGUAAUGUCUUUUAGCCUUCAUACUUUAUUGACUGUAUGUGCAAUGAUGUAUGUAAGUGAGCAAAUGUCUUUAAAUUUUUAGGAAAAAUUUAAUUUGUAUGUCUUGUUACAGUUUAUAUAAAAAGGUUGUCAUGUAGAACUGUAUAUUUUACAUCAUCGUGGUGGAUUUGACAAAUGUUCAGACAAUGUUUCCCAUGGAAAACUCUGCCCAAGAAUGUGCCAUGAUGAAAAGUGGAAUAAAUUAUUGUUUUUAGUGUUAGUGAAGUCAGGGUUGAAAUUGCAGUUAACCUAAUGUAGAUAAGGUGAAAUAUGGUGCAAAUAACCCAGUGUUUCAAUUUUGAUCAACGCAUGUUCAAGUGGUCUGUUUUGAUAUAUUUUUAUCAUUUAUUGUACAUUACUGGAGGUUCAGUCAUGACAAGCCUGUGCCCUGGUGUUUCUUGUAUAUAGCUAGUAUUAGGUAUUGUUUGAUUGUGCUCAUUGAGUGACUUUUUUUUUGUUAUAAGAAAUAUAGAAACAAAUUUUA